AAAUCAGUUUUGCAGAUCCUGAACUGCAUUUCCAUUAAAGACAAAAGAAAUAAUCAAAUUUGAAUUGAGCUUCAAGAUUGUUAAAUUGCAUGUUUAAAUACUACUCUAAAACUAUUAUUGCCCUUUGCCUAUAUAGUCAUUUUCUUGAUAAUGGCUUGUUUAGAUUUCCAACUGUCCUAUUCCCAAAGCCAAUGUAAAGUAUAUCUCAGGUUAUAAUAAAAGUCACUUUAAUUCAGAUCUUCUUGUAUAUCAUUUCCUAGAUCUUAUCCAUAGAGGUGUAAAUCUUCAUAAAUAUCAGUCUCGCAGGCAAAAACAAAUAGUUUUACCAUUUUUGUCUUUACUAUGAGACAAUCAUCCAAACUGGGCAAUUUAUGAAGACCAUUUAUCAUUCAGGAAUUAUUAUAUGCAAAAGCAAAAAGGUGGAAAGUGUCCAUGCCGAUGGCAGAUUCUGGAAAAAGUAAUAUUCCUAUACCUUGGAAGAGAUGCAACACCUCUGUAUUUUUUCUUCCUGCCCCAAUUUACAAAACCUCUAUGUAAACUGCAGAAUUUUGAAAUAGAAAGAAAAAGAAGAGAAAGCAUUAAGCUAGCAGUUUCUUUUGUUCAUUCUAAUAUUUUAGAUACAGACUAUCCUAGGUUUCUCUUGUCUUUUUUUUUUUUAAAAAAAAAAUCAGAAAUAUAAUAGAACUUCAUUGAAUGUGUGUCUUGCUUGAGCUUCAGAGAAAAGGUGUCUGCCCAAAGACUGUGCUCUUUUUACUGACUGAGUGAAAGAACCGAGCCUGCUUUUCUCCUUCCCUGAAGCCUUAACUCAGGUAUCUCAAAAGUGGGCCACACAUAAUCACCAAAAUUCUGGGUCACCUUCCUUUGAACAUAUCUUCCCACUUUCAUGGUUAACUUUCGGUCUGAUCUACACUUGAAUAAUACUUCUACAAAUGUGCUAACAAUCCUUACAAUCUUUCUACAAAACUCAGUAGGUGUAAUGUUUUCCUUGUGUUAUUUCUAAAGCAGAUGAUUAAUAUAUUCUUUUCACUCUUCUGCUCAAAAUUGAUUUUAAAAAUGCAUCUACAUAAAAGCUGACAUCUUCCCGUGUCAAAAUAUUUAUUAAACUAUAGGCCCUAAUCAUAGCUUGCUGAAAAGUCUCUCUGAAAUCACAUCUUUCAGUGAGUGUUAAUUUUGCAAAUCUAGCUUGUUUAAUUCCUUUAAGCAGCCAUGUUUGCUCUAUUACUUGCUGGAAGUAAGAUUUAUGUUUGCUUUCAUCACAACAGAAAAGAUCGAUCAAUACAGGUAAUAAAUCUUUAAAUGCUUUUUAACCUUACAUGCUCUUUAUAAGUUGAGAGGUAAUCAAUAGCUGUGACAGAAAAACUGCAUGCGAGUCAUCUCUCAAAUCUGCUUGGUUUUUAUGACAUAAUGUCAAUAGUUUAGAAUGUAAAUGCCAUGAUCAAUUUUCUGUCCUUCUGAAAAAAAGGCUCUAUAUAAGAUAGCAUAAUUAUUUCUUUAAAAAGUAUUGCUAGAGAUAAAAUGACCACAGAUAGAUCUUUAUAUUUAGCUAGGUGCUCUGUCAAACUGGACAAUCCAAUUACUUCAUUAGAACAAUCUGUUUAGCACACUAGUUUGGACAGCAUUUCUGUGAAACAAUGAUGACCUAUAUUCUUUCCUUGUUGGUUCAUCAAAGCAAAUGUAUGCUUGAGAAGCUUAUUGCAGCCAAAGCAGCUCUAUAAGGUAUGGGGCCAGUUUCUUCCAAGUUACAGCCUAAUACUAUCAAGUUGGCCUUAAUGAUUUAACAUUAAUUUCAACAUCUGCUCAAAGUUAUUGUGACUAUCCUUUUAACCUAUCUGUUUGGUAAAGUUUACCCCACACUUGGGUCCCUCUUAAAUUAUGAGAUUUAAAGAAGUUAGCUAUCUAUGCCAUUGGGCUCAAUAGGAUUUGAAUAACUUUUGAGUAAUUUAUGUACAACUGAUCUCGUUGAGACUGAAAUACAAAUAACCUAUCUUAGAAUUGUAAAAUAUACAUAUUUU
rnacentral:lncRNA from 1 species